rnacentral:piRNA from 1 species
UACAUAUAGCAAACUUCUAUCUUGUGUA